rnacentral:rRNA from 1 species
CACGGGGGGGGCAAGCGUUGUUCGGAAUUACUGGGCGUAAAGGGCUCGUAGGUGGCCAACUAAGUCAUACGUGAAAUCCCUCGGCUUAACCGGGGAACUGCGUCUGAUACUGGAUGGCUUGAGGUUGGGAGAGGGAUGCGGAAUUCCAGGUGUAGCGGUGAAAUGCGUAGAUAUCUGGAGGAACACCGGUGGCGAAGGCGGUUCUCUGGGCAUGUCCUGACGCUGAGGAGCGAAAGCGUGGGGAGCGAACAGG